ensembl:lncRNA
ACUGGAAAUCAGUGCGAAUGUGACUGCAUAGAGGAGCACAUACAGCUCUCACCUGGCAGCAGGAUGGAAAGAACGUUUUGGCGCAAGGGGCAAACCAAGACUCACAUUCGCAUGCCCAGAAACCUUGCUCUCUUGGCAGUACAUUAAACUGGAGAGAUUAUGAUUCUUGAAGAGAUGGGAAAGAAAGGCUCUGAAGCAGUGAAGGACACCGCCUGCAUCAUUGAGAACGGCUACAGCGUGGGCCCGGGCCAGGUGCGCAUCAGGCAUGAACAAGGAACCCUUCCAGACUGGGAUGGUUACCGUAACUUUGAGGUAAUCCAACACUGCCAGAGGCUGCGUGGGCAAUCCCUGCGUAACUGCGCAUAAGUAAUUAUGCUGAGUUCCAGAAAAAAGUUGCAGAUUCAGGCCUUUGCAAAUGAAAUCCUCCCUCUUUUCUUCUGAAAAGAUUUCUACAGAUAAAUCUUCAAAUAUGCCUAGCACUGACAAACAUGCAAGGUUUAGUGGCAUCACCUAUAACAGUUUUUGCACUUUGAGUUGUCUGCACUUGUCUUUUUUUGCCUAUUCUGUAUUCUGUUUUUCCCCUUCUAAUCUUCAAUCUUCAUCCAGACACUUUUUCUAUCUGUGAAUCCUUCUUCCCUGCAGUCCAAUCUUUUUUCUUAUAUUCCAUUUCAGAUAGCCAAUCUUCUCUCUUGCUUAUUCAUCGUCAUUCUGUCCAUUGACGUUCUUUUUCAGCCCCACACCCAGGACUGGGGGAAAAAUGCUGCCUACCCAUCUCUCUUCUUGUGUGGAGCAGCGCUUCAGGAUACGGGGCUGAGAUCAAACACUACUUGCCGCCAUCUACUCAUGCUGAGAGAAGCGAGGGAAGGACCUGCUAAACCGUUCUUCGCAACGCCAUCUAAAAUACAGCUCUCACUUUAUUUGCUUUGGUUCCGGAGGGAAAAUCGGCUAAGGAUGCCUUUUGUUAGGCUAUGCAGGCUUCUGCCGUUUAGCGAGACCAGUCCAGCUGCUCGGCACGUGGACCCGGAGCCAGAUCAGGGUUCACCAUUUCACUGAGAUUUAUUUUGAGGGAGGGAGCCAUGCGGCACAGCUGCAUGGGGCAGCGUCAUGUACACUGUCAGUAGGCUACUAUUCAUUAUUGUGAAUGGUCACUUCACGUCUUACGAUUGGACUCCUUGGCAACUGGUUCAUUUUUUUCCUAAUCAAAUGAAAAGAUGCAACGUACAUCUGAAGAUCUGCUUGCUUGAGGACCAGCUAACCAACCAUCGUUUUCAAGAGCUGAGAGCAGAAGCAACCGAGGGGCUAGGGAGAACAAUAACAUAAUUUUACCUGCCUAUUUUUAGUCUGAAGCUAGUCGGGUCGGUGAUCAAUAUCAACAGUCACAUUACUUAACAGGAUACAAAAGGACAGUCACAACACCAUCCCCUGCCACAUGCCCUGCCUGUUGUUUUAUAGACACUUUGUGCCCUGCUGGCAGCCUGUGCCAGCUGCCGACCGACUAAAACAGCGCUCCGACAGUUUUCCUGCCUAAUCCGUAAGCGGUGCAGAGUCGCUUCAUUCUCGGCAGCACCACCACUGUAGCCGGGGACGAGUGAGGACGGCUGCAGCUUCUCCGUCAUCCGCUGCUGCCGAGAAGGUGCCUUGGGAACCUAGGCAGUCUCUUAGAAAAAGGAGCAGUUCUCAGGAUGCUCUGAUUCACAAGGGAGUGGGCUGGCACGUCAAGCGAGAAAUGGGAAAUAAGGGAGGUUUUCCUCAAAAGCUGGUACAAAGAAUUUUGAUGAUAGUGCCCAGAUGAAAGCACAUAAAUAAUUUAAAUACGAUAAAUGUCAUAACAACAGAAAGCAUUGUUGUAAGACCAGAUCAUCUUACUAAUUUGUUGUGGAAUCCCCAAGGGUAAGCAGGCAUUUCAGUUCUCUGCUUUCUGUUUUGUUUGAAUGAUAUCGACCUGAAAAUCUAGGCUGUGGUGCUCAAAAUACAGACUUGACGGAAGAACAUCAAUCUGUGUGUAUACAAAUAAGAAAUGGAUUUGCCAAUGCGAUUUAUUAUCUUUGGUAUAAUUAUUUAAUUUUCAACAAAACCUUUCAACAAAACAAGCGUGUUUUGCUGUUUAAUGUGUGUGUGUGUGUGUGUGUGUGUGUGUGUGUCUAUAUACACAUAUAUUUCAAAACUGCUGAGUCUACGUAAGGGAAAUAAAUUAUGAGGUAACAAAAUUCA